rnacentral:rRNA from 1 species
AACGCGAAGAACCUUACCUGGCCUUGACACAGAGAACUUGGCAGAGAUGCUUUGGUGCCUGGGAACUGAGACAGGUGCUGCAUGGCUGGAGCGUGUUGUGAAAUGUUGGGUUAAGCCGCAACGAGCGCAACCCUUACUUUGUUGCCAGCGGCGGCCGGGAACAAAGGAGACUGCCAGUGAUAAACUGGAGGAAGGUGGGGAUGACGAAGAAUGGCCCUUACGGCCAGGGCUACACACGUGCUACAAUGGCGCAUACAAAGAGAAGCGACCGCGAGAGCAAGCGGACCAUAAAGUGCGGUAGCGGAGGAGUGCAACGACCGUGAAGGGAAGCUAGUAAGUAGAAGAAUGCUACGGUGAAUACGUCCGGGUUGUACACACCG